CACAAGUUGCUGAAUCAAUUACGCAUUCAAUCGCUAAGGUGCCAAAAAAAUGUAAUUUUGAAUUGGAAGACCAAGAACCAGCACCUCAAUUAAGGGUUUGGCUGCGCUCUUUGCAGAAGAAGAGAAGAAGUGCAAGAAAAGCAGCGAGAGAGAGGAGAGAUAAAGACGCAUCUAGCAUGAAGACGAGAGGGCAGAGAUGGAGUAGUUGCAAGCAGAAAUUGGAGGACCUGGAAGAGAGAAAGAGCAAAUAUUGAGCAGCCGCAACAAGCUUGGGAUGUUGAAGAACCUGGGGAGAAAGAGCAGAGAUGGAGUCGCUACAAGAAGGUACCCAAAUUGGAGAAACUGUAAGAGGGCAGCAAGAAUAUGAUGAAUUUUGGGGUUGUUGAGCUUGUUUUUGGAAGUGAAAACUCUACUUCAGGCGAAAAUAGACAUGACACCAGGAGGUCGUCGUGGCCUACUUCAUUCUAGACUCUCGACUACAUCAUCGCUUGAGGAUGAUCCGACGUCCUCGAGAUUGGUGGAGCACGUCAGUCCUGAUGCGGCACCAUCAUUGUCUGAGCCAUCGGGACCUCGGCCAGACAUGGAUACCACAGUUGGGAGUGAAACGUAGGGUGAGUUGCCCACCAUGAUGAGCAGUGUUGGUAAGGUUACGAUUAAUUUAUUUAAAUUUAAACUAUUGAUGGUUAUUCACGUGUAUGAUUAAAAUAUUGUUCUUAAUUUAACUCUUCUUUCGGCAUCGACAUCCACGGUGAGGUCAUGGCGUGGUGUAGCGAAGAACACGACGCUUAAGAAGCACCUGGAGCGGAUGGGGCAACGGAUUCAGAUUGACAUUCCUAGAGGCUUCACGGCCCUGUUUGACAAUUGGUGCUCAACAACAUCAUCUCCUAUGGGUGCGGCAUCUCGUGCUGAGAUGGAACGAGUGGGUCGAGACACCAAGUCUUGGGCGGAGGAGAUGGUUCAGCGAAUGCAUACAAUGGAAAUGGAGAACUAGCAAUUGAAAGACAUGGUGUCUAACGUUGAAGUGGAGAACCACCAAUUGAAAGACAUGAUGUCCAACGUUGAAGUGGAGAACCAACAAUUGAAAGACAAGAUGUCCAACGUUGAAGUCACGCUCGCAGCCAUUCUGAACAGGUAAACGCAGUUCGAACAAAUGAUGCGCCAAUCUCAACUAGAUGAUGUAGGUGGCUCCUCUCAUUAGAAGGCUUAGAGUGCAUACUAAUUAGGCAAACAAGUCUUCUGCGCCAUAUUAGAGAGACAAAAAUCUUCUAUAAAGGAUCGGAGCACGGGGGCGACUCUACUUCACGGUAAAUGUCAGGAUGGUGUCUCCAAUGCCGAUGGCGUCUUCCGCUAAAGCAUCUUCUAUUUUAGCACUUGUUAGUGAACGAACAACAACCGAUACCUAGCAUAGACGACUUGGGCAUCCAUAAAAUAAAGUUGGUGAUUUUGUUAUUCACACAUUUUCUCUACCAGUUGUGGUGUCAAGUGUCUCUUCAUCGAUCUUCCAUUUGUAAUGCUUGUCAAUGCAGAAAAAGUCGCAAGUUGCCUUUUUCUUCCACUUCUCUUGUUAGCACUCAUCCACUUGAAUACAUUUAUACUGAUGUUUGGGGGCCUACAAAUUCCACUUCCCUUGAUGGGUUUCGUUU